AGAAAAGGUGCGAAAAGUGAGGUAAAAAUUGUGUUGAAACAGAAAUAUUGGACUAAAAAGACAAGAUGGCAUGGAAGAUACUUUUACAUUCAUUAGUUCUAAUUGGAUUUUUCAUCGAAGGUAGGAUUUGAAUAUGCUAUUUAAUAAUUCUCAGUAUGAAGACGAAUACAGGUGAUCACGAUUUUAAUUACAUAAAUAAUGUACAUGUACAUACAUUGUAUCUAUACCUACAUAUACCUAUUAUAUUAAUAUACCUUUGUUAUAUGGGCUGUUAAUUACUAUUCACACAAAAAAAGAAAAUUACAGUAACGAAAUUCAAUUAAAUAAACAGAAGCCGAAGUUGGACGUAUUUAAACAAAGAGUGAACACAAAUAGGUGUUCAAUUUGAUAAAAAGAAAAAAAACCUGAACAAUGAGUAUUGUUUUUUUUUGUUAAUAACUCUGAUAUAUGUAUUUUUUUUCGAAAUAUUAUAACCUAGAAAAUGAAAGAACUUCACCCAUGACUUCACGUAUUCAUGAACUAACUAGGGUAUUUUUAACCAUACAUUACUGUUGCCUCAUCAACCGUCAAUUUAUAGCACAAAAAGAACACAUUUUUAUGACUUUUUACACAAUUUAAUAAAAGUACAUUGUAAUAAAAUAAGGCUUUGUUAAUCCUUUUGUAUUUGUUCAAUCCAGUUAAAACGAAUCAAACACUUUGUCAAGGAGAUGUUAGAGACACCAAAAAUAUGUGUCGAGUUUUACAUGCAUAUAUGUACAUGUAAUAUACGGUUGCAGGUCAUACAAAUUGUAAACAUGGUAAAUCCAUUUCGUUGUGUAUGUAUAAAUAAUUUAUAUCAUGUGUGUCGAUUUACGAACAUCUUAUAAAACUUUAAUAAGAUCAACAUAUGUCAUUGAUUUCUUUUUAACUACACCUGGUAAUGAACUACAAUUGAGACGAGAAUUGGCCUCGUCUUUUUAAAUUCGUGUGAAUAUGCCCAUGGCGUAUAUUUUGAUAUAAAAUGGUAUAACCUAUCAGAAAAUGACCCCCUCUUCGAUGAAUUGAUAUAUUGACGCGUUCUUCACGAACAGUGGCAAAUAUUUCAUGCAUAUUCAUGACAAUCUUCGUUCAUCUUUUCUCCGAAUGCGAACCACUUCAUUUUGACAUCCUUAUUGUGUGUUUUAAACCAAAAAUCGUACGACAAAAAAUAACCGUAAGCUAAGCUGAAAUGUUAAUGACUUCCGAGUAUUAUUUCUCGUACGAUAUUUCGUGAAAUGAGUGUCACUGCUGGAUUGGCAUUUUAAUGAAAUUUGAUUGCAUAUAUAUAUGCAGAAAUAAAGGAAGUCAUAUAUAGUUAUAAAAUACUUUAAGAUAUAUAGGAAGUGAAAUUUUGACUCUCUGAAGUGAAAUCGGAAGACAGGCUCAGAGUGUUGGAUGAUCCGAUCAUUUUCCAGUUCUUAUUUAUGAAUUAUAAGAAACCAAAUUAAAAACCGGUAUAAUAAUCAAGAUUAAGCUUUAUUUCUAAAUACAAAUCUUUAACAUGUAUAUCUAAUGGAAAAAAAAUUCAUCCAGUCUACAUUUAACUAAUCUCGGAACUAUUCAGGCAAUCUGUAUUAGUACAUAUAUAUAUAUAUAUAUAUAAUACAUGUAAGGAUUUCCCCCCAAAUACAUGUAACUUGAGUACAUGCUUUAUACACGUUUAGCCAUGUUAAAUGUCCAAGUUAAGUUUCCUUUCCUAUUGAUUUAAAGAAGGCCGUAUAAAAACAAAUCCACUGGAAUGCGUAUUGUAUAGUAAAUCGUUAUGAACUAGAUGUAGAACUUGUGGUCAACCGAUCGAUAAAAUACAACCAUGGCCCCAUAGGUCUGUUGCCUGUUAAUCAAUUGACACAGUGGCGCAUAUAUCAACGGUUAUAUAUCGAAUAUAUUUAACCUACAUUUGUGUACUGCCAUUAAGUGUUACAUGUAUGAAAGGUCGAAAAGUCAUUGUAAUACACAAUUAAUUGAAGGUCUUGCUCGACGAUACACACAAGGCUCAACGAUGCAUUUUUAGAUUUUAAGAAGACGGUAUAAAUACAAAAAAACGAACAAUAAUAGGGAAUACAUAGUCGCAAUUAAUUGAAAAAGAGGGAUGGUUGUAAAAGCUCGGGGGAGGGCAACUCCUGUAUACAAUUUGAUAGGACGUGCCGCUGGAAUAGGUCACCUUUAUAAGCAUCAAUAUAUGUGGACGGGUUGGGAAAAUUGUAUGAUAAGGUAAACAAAGUUCCUACAACUUCUCCGUCGGUCAUCUUCCUUGUGUUUUCCUGUUGUGUUUUUUUCUACCAAUUUUUCUCUUUUGACACUUUGGUAUACUUUACUCAUAUAAAACCCAAACAAUAUGGGGAAAGGUGCUGAAGACCGCGAAAAGUCACAUUUUGUACCAUAUAUAUAUAUAAGUACGUCUGAGCCAGUAACAACUCUACAACAGAUUUAUCCAUCGGAUCACAGCAAAUUUACAGAUCUAACAUUGUGGGUAUAUAUAAUAUAUAUAUAUAUAUAUAUAUAUAUAUAUAUAUAUAUAUAAUAUAUAUAUAUAUAUAUACAACUCGUCUAAACAUUAACCCAACAAUGUUAGACCUGCAAUUUUUUUGUUCUUUCCUCGCCGGGAUUCGAUCCCAUGCUACUGAGAUAUAGUGACACCAAAUCGCCUACACUGUAUCUGUUGUAGAGUUGUCACUGGCUCAGACGUACUUAUAUAUAUAUAUACAAGCCCAGGUGGUCGUGUGGUCUAGCGGGACGGCUUCAGUGCAGGCGAUUUGGUAUCACGAUAUCUCAGUAGCAUGGGUUCGAAUCCCGGCGAGGGAAGAACAAAAAAUUUGCAAAAGCAAAUUUACAGAUCUAACAUUGUUGGGUUGAUGUUUAGACGAGUUGUAUAUAUAUAUAUAUACACAUGUAUGAAUAGCUACACACAGCAAUAAGGGAAUAGUACCUUUUAUAUCAGAAAGCUCUAUUAUCUUCACGAACAAAGAAAACAUGUUUAUAUAUGUAUAAUUAUGUUUUCUUUAUUUGUGAAGAUAAUAAAAAAAAAAAACCUUAACUGACAUAAAAUGCAUUCAAAUAUUUGGAAAAAAAAUCAUAUUUUUAUAGAAUAAAUGUAGCCUCAAAAUAUUUUAAAGUAAGAAAUAAAUAGUACACACUAAGAAAUAUGUCAGUUCUUCCUGUUUUACGUAAGAAUACAAUGAUAUUGUCCAAUAAGACAAAAGUAAUCAUGUAAUUAUCUUCUUUGGUUUCACUGUUCCCCGUAUUUUCCCAUUUCCCACUGACGUCUAUAUCACUAUGUUAUAAAAACGAGACAGAAUAAAAUUUCUUUUGUAGUCACUUACUUAAAUUAAGGUAAUUUUUACCGCAAAGGAAGACAUUUAAAUAAGAUAGAUGAGAAUUACAUAAAAUAAAUUGGCCAUGUCAUUUUGUAGUUUUCGCACAAGUUAUAAGAGAAAUCUAACCACUGGUUUAUCGGAUUUAUGUAGUGGCAUGUUUUGGAUAAAAAUCAACACCGAUAGCGUGGCCACAUGCAUGUUUUAAAAAUAACAUAGAAAUUAAACAAAAAUGCCAUGCCAUGAUCCCCGAAAAACAAUAACGCUGGCAUGUUGAACAUCUCGAUUCCUUAGUAUUGCAAAUCUGAUAUGUAGCAUUCGUCAUGAUUAAACAGGUCAUACUGGAUUGACAGAACGGACAAUUGGAUUUAUGACUGAUGUUCAUUGAUAUCUUCGGAAACAAUCUAAUUUGAAAUCAUGUUCGCCAGUUCUGGAUCUUCUGAAAUAAUCCCGAACCAAGUUUGACAUCAUUAGAAAUAGUCUUAAUAGUAUUUAUUUUCUCCAAGUUAGCCAUCUUCUGCACAUAUGAAACAAUACCCCUGUUCGCCAAGAUAUUAGAAACCGUGACUCUGUAACGAUCAGCCAUGAUGGUCACCAAAGAACUGCUUUGUAACCUUGUGUCCACAUUUUUUUCAAUUCAAAACUCCUUUUACAUUUCGGGAGACGAACUGAUUUUGCAUUACCCUACUCUGUUCAUUGUCUGAUUUCCUGUAUAUAAGUGAAAACAAGGUUCACAUUUGUACAUGGUGAUCUUAUCUUCAGUAAUAUUAAAAUAUAUCUUGAGGCAUAUAUUGUGUUGACAUUUUACCACAACAUCUGUGUCUCACUCGUGGUAUUAAUUGAUUGAAUAGUAUAUAGACGUUAAUAUUACAUCUCAAGUCGUGCAUCACUUGUUUCAUAGUCUCGUAUAAAAAGGUUAUAUUGGCUAGAGGUUUAGAGGGGGUUUGAGAUCUCACAAGCAUAUUUAACCCCGUCUUAUUUUUGCGCCUGACCCAUGUCAGGAGCCUCUGGCCUUUUUUAUUUUUAUUUUUUUAUUUUUAUUUUAGUUCAUUUAUAUGCUUUGAAGUUUAGUAUGACGUCCAUUUUCACUGAACUAGUGCACAUUUGUAUUUAAUGGUCAGCUGAAGCCCAUCUUUGGGUGUUGGAUUUUCUCGCUGCGUUGAAGAACCAUUGGUGGCCUUCAAAUGUUAUCUGCUCUUCGGUCUGGUUGUUGUCUCUUUGACAUAUCCCAUUCUCAAUUUUAUAUGUACUUAACAACAGAGUAAAAAGGCAAUGCAACAAUAUGUAACAACAAGAUAACCUAACAAGCAAAUGUACCGACCCCCCAACAGAUUGAAAGGUCACCAUGCAAAAAUGGAAGUGGCAGUCCAAAUAGCUAUUUGUUUGCCACAUUUAAAUGCUUUUCAUUCAGUUUUUUUUUUGGAUGUUCUUUAAUGUUAGUAACUUGUCUAUAAAACCAUGCUCAAUCCACCAUAAGAAAAUGCUUGUACUAAGUCAUGAAUAUAACAGUUGUUAUCCAUUCGUUUGAUGUGUUUGAGCUCUUGAUUUUCCCAUUUGAUUAGGGACUUUCCGUUUUGAAUUUUCAUCGGAGUUCAGUAUUUUUGUGAUUUUACUUUUUAUCGAUAGUAUAAGAGAAGUGCACUGGAAACUAUGGCUGGGUUCAGUAGCUAUAGUUUUCAGAGAACUCUCAGAUUGAAUGUUGCCGUCUUUAGAUAUCUUUUUGGCAUUUUUUUCGUUUUAUUGCUGUCUUAUUGGCUUUCAUUAUACACCCCCUUUUACUUAUUCAGAAUCUUAUAGCAAGAUCAAUACUGAACUUUCGGUCCUCUAUCUGUUACAUAAUUUUAGUGAACACUGAGAAUCGAGUUUAUAGACUUGAAUCAGUUUCGAGAAAUGCAAGUAAUUUCUAUUUAUUCCUUUAUUUGGGUCUUUGCAAAAAGUUCUAACAUGUAUCUUUAUUUAGCUGCAUUGAAUGGUGUCGAUGGAUUUAUUUUUAGGUUAUAUUUAUGUUUUGUUAUCAAAACAGGGAUUUUCAAUUUUUAGUUUCUGUUUAUUUUGGAGGGUGGAUUUACGAUGAUAUAAACUAAUUUUGAAACAGUUUAUGUUUAAACAUGUAUUGUUUUAAUUUAUAAUUGCAAUGAUCUUUGUUAUUGCACGUUCUGCUUUCACUUCACUGAACACCAGCAUAGUGACGCAUACAUGUACUAAAACAUGCACUACUAAAUGUCAAACUUAAAAAAAAGUAACACAAUUUGUGGACAAUAAUUUAAAACCCUUCCACGCAAAAAAGUCUGAACUUUCGCAUGUGUAAGUGUCGUAAAUAAAUUAUCAGUUUCUCAAAUAUCUUCUUAAAUUUAUGUUAACUAUUGAGAAUACUACAUAUAGAUUUAAUACAUGUUUUUGACAAUGAUAUAAAGAAGGCUGAGUCACCUUUUAAGUAGGUGGUAAACCUUUGUGAAAAAUAAAGUUUAAAACGUGUUUUCUUUUAGUUUGACGAGCUUGACUGAAAAUCUAAAUAAUAUUUAUAAUAUGUAUGGUUUACCGUCUAUAAAUGAUGUUAACUCUUAUAUUUUCUGAAUAAAAAAGUUAAAGUAACCCUUCGCCCCUUUAACUUAUACAAGGGACUGAUAACGAGGAAAUAUAAACUUAUUUGGAAAACAAAAAUUUAUUUUAAGUAGCAGUUGGUUUCAUUCAAAGACACCAUUGUUGUGUGGAAACACUAUAUACUAGUAUAUAAACAACUUAUUUUAACUUGAAGAAACUAGAGGAUCUUGAGGACAUGUGUCGCUCGCAUGGAGCAAUAUGUUUCUUCAACAAUCGCCACCCAUUGUGACUUGACUUAAUACUCUUCGUUCCUUGUGGAACAUAGGGCUGCCACAGUCGUACCCACUGUAGAAAAGAAUAAAAAUUCUGACUAAAAUCUCUGUAUUGUUGCUAUUCUUUUGGAGAUUUAUUUCUGUUUAGAAGAUAUCUAUCUAUUAUAGUCUUCAUCUACUGUUUAUAAACGUUUGUUCAAGUCCUUCGAUUCAUGAUCUUUCUUGAGAUUAUUUGAGAUUCUUGAUAGCUUGUCUUUUAGCUAAUCAUAAAUGGGUUGCAGAAACUCUACAAAGAGAAACAAUUAAUUGUUAAUACCGAAUUAUUCAUUCCCUGUGUCACCUCAUGACACACUUCAAUAUUUUUUUACUACGAUGGUGUCUAACAACACUCAUAUUUGAUUUAAAAAUAUUUAUUUAUAGUGGAUUGGGAAACAAGUUAUUACAACUUAUAUUAAUCCCUUUCCACUUUGCGGGUGCGGUUGCUGCCUUUUAGCAGCAUUAGCCUGCUCUAUUCGAAAUGUACAAGGGUGUCUUUUACGUGCAAGAGAUAUGGCUCUCUCUUAACACAGGUCAGCCAUUUAUCGUCCCCAUCCGACGGACUAUCAUCGUUUUUCGAGACCAUACUCACCAAUUCAAUGGUGUCAAAAUGGUCAAAGGAUAUGUAUUGUAUACUGAAGUACUUGUGCAUAUAAGCAAUCACUUAUACUUAUGAAUAUCGACAUUUUUGUAUAUUUUCACAAAUAUGUUAAAGGAGCACUAGCUGUCAAAUUCAUUUUCACUGAUUUUAAACAAAUUCUCAUAUUUGAUUUAUAACAAUGUAAAACAUUUAUCCAAACUAUUAAAAGUCUAAAAUAAAGAACGAAUAGGACACGGGCAUGAAAAUACGUAGCUUCGUUUCGCGUGUAUUUUAUUCCAGACGCCAUAUAAUUAAUUAUCGAGUUGACCUCUAAAGUCGUUUUUACCUGUAUAAGAAUGAUUGUUUGUGGAUCGAAUCAGUCAAUCAAAUGAUUUACCUCUGUUUCACUUUCAAUGUUGACAUUCUUUUCCUUUGAAUAAUUUUACAUAUUCACGUAUUAUCCAUAAAGUUCACAUGAAUACGGAUUCAUUGAGGUCGAAUUAUUUACUUACAAGUAAAUAAUUCAUAAUCAAUGUUUUUUAGCUUAUUUUGACAAAAUUGAACAAUAUUGGCUGCCAAAGGCCAAUUAUUAUUUCGCUAUUUGCUUUUCACUAAUGAUUAAACAAAAAAACAAAAAAAAAAAAUAAUAUAUUUGAUUUUUUAUAUACCUCGUAGCUAGUGCCCCUUUAACAUUAGGGUUCGUUAGAAAUAUAUCUGUGUAGACAUAUAACGUGUAUUUUUAACGAACUUUGUUUAUUUUUUGUCCUACAUUUUAGUUAAAAUUGACAAAACAAUUUAAAAAGGGUUAAUUAUAUAUAUAUGUACAUAAGACUGUGGUACAUGUACUUAGUUGUUAUACUAAUUUUCAAAACAAAUAUAGUAAAGACUAUAGUUUAAACGUUUUCAUGAACGUGACAUUUAAAUUUAGGUUUGAUAUUUUGUAUAACGUUGAAAUAUAAGUUGAAAACUCAUUGUAUUGAAACCUCAAACAAUACAAAUCUAACUAUACGAAAAGUCGACAUUUCGGGUAGUAUGGGGAAGUUAUAGAAAUAGAAAGAUAAAUACAAAUCUGUAAAAUUUGAACGAAUUGAAAUAUGCUUGUUUGAUGGGUGGAUAUAUUAUAUCAGUGUUCAUCGUACAGUGGCGACUAUUACAUGUAUCUCAGGACUAACAAAUGCUGAUGUAAUGGGCCAUUCCAGUUAAUUUCUGACAGGUGGGGAUGGAGGGAGUUUUUUGAUACGUAUCAGAAAAAAACAUCAUGAAAAACUACCAUCUAAAAAAAUAAGACCUAUCAGAUGAAGAGUCCUGUUCAGUUGGGAGAUGGGCUUCAUGGAAAAAAUGACCUAUCAGAUUUUUUUACUGCAGAUGUACCAUCAUUAUUUUAAACCCAGAUAAUGCAUCAUACGAAACUUUACAUUUCAAAGCACCCUCAGAUCUGACAGAGGCAUUUUUACCCCUAAUAAUAAUCAUUUUUAAUUAUUUACUGCUGCCAAGACCUCAGAAGUUUGCGUAUAAGUUACCUGUCAGAUAAAAACCCAAAAUUUCACCCCUAAGAUGUAUAAAUUUUACACCCCUCAGAAAGGACCAUCCAUCCCCCUUUAGCAGAUAUUAACUGGAACGGCCCAAUAUCAAUAUGAACCCUGCUUUUGACCAAAAGACUUAAUAAAGUUUAACGUAUUUGUUUGACUACAGUGGAGAUCACUUCUAAUCUCUCAUUAGAACUGUCAGAAUAUUAAUCUGUCUUAGAACUGUUCUAAGCUAUCCUAGAACAGUUCUACCUAGAACAGUUCUGCAUAGAACAGUUCUAAGGUAUAGAAUAGUUCUACCUUAGAACUGUUCUAAGUAGAACUGNNNNNNNNNNNNNNNNNNNNNNNNNNNNNNNNNNNNNNNNNNNNNNNNNNNNNNNNNNNNNNNNNNNNNNNNNNNNNNNNNNNNNNNNNNNNNNNNNNNNNNNNNNNNNNNNNNNNNNNNNNNNNNNNNNNNNNNNNNNNNNNNNNNNNNNNNNNNNNNNNNNNNNNNNNNNNNNNNNNNNNNNNNNNNNNNNNNNNNNNNNNNNNNNNNNNNNNNNNNNNNNNNNNNNNNNNNNNNNNNNNNNNNNNNNNNNNNNNNNNNNNNNNNNNNNNNNNNNNNNNNNNNNNNNNNNNNNNNNNNNNNNNNNNNNNNNNNNNNNNNNNNNNNNNNNNNNNNNNNNNNNNNNNNNNNNNNNNNNNNNNNNNNNNNNNNNNNNNNNNNNNNNNNNNNNNNNNNNNNNNNNNNNNNNNNNNNNNNNNNNNNNNNNNNNNNNNNNNNNNNNNNNNNNNNNNNNNNNNNNNNNNNNNNNNNNNNNNNNNNNNNNNNNNNNNNNNNNNNNNNNNNNNNNNNNNNNNNNNNNNNNNNNNNNNNNNNNNNNNNNNNNNNNNNNNNNNNNNNNNNNNNNNNNNNNNNNNNNNNNNNNNNNNNNNNNNNNNNNNNNNNNNNNNNNNNNNNNNNNNNNNNNNNNNNNNNNNNNNNNNNNNNNNNNNNNNNNNNNNNNNNNNNNNNNNNNNNNNNNNNNNNNNNNNNNNNNNNNNNNNNNNNNNNNNNNNNNNNNNNNNNNNNNNNNNNNNNNNNNNNNNNNNNNNNNNNNNNNNNNNNNNNNNNNNNNNNNNNNNNNNNNNNNNNNNNNNNNNNNNNNNNNNNNNNNNNNNNNNNNNNNNNNNNNNNNNNNNNNNNNNNNNNNNNNNNNNNNNNNNNNNNNNNNNNNNNNNNNNNNNNNNNNNNNNNNNNNNNNNNNNNNNNNNNNNNNNNNNNNNNNNNNNNNNNNNNNNNNNNNNNNNNNNNNNNNNNNNNNNNNNNNNNNNNNNNNNNNNNNNNNNNNNNNNNNNNNNNNNNNAUUUUGACUCUCUGAAGUGAAAUCGGAAGACAAGGCCUCAGAGUUGGGUGAUCCGAUCAUUUUCCAGUUCUUAUUUAUGAAUUAAAAGAAAACCAAAUUAAAAACCGGUUAUAAUCAAGAUUAAGCUUUAUUUCUAAAUACAACAUGUUUAUCAAGUGGGUCUCAUUGGGGUCUAAGCGUGACGCGGGAUUGCCGAUUUUUUUGUAAGCGUGACACGUGAAAGUCAAAUUAUUGUGCCGUGAAAACGGGAAAUGAAGUCUAGCGGGACACGGGAAAGUGUAAGUGGGAUACGGGAAUUUGACAAAACAGUAAGAGGGAUCUGGGAUCAGAACCCCCCCAGUGAGACCCCCUAUCAAAUUGUAAAAUUCUUCCAGUCUACAUUUAAGUAAUCUCGGAACUAUUUAGUCAAUCUGUAUUAGUACAUAUACAUGUAAGGAUUUCCCCCAAACAUAACUUGUGUCUAUAUGCUUUAUACACGUUUAACCAUGUUAAAUGUCCAAGGUUAAGUUCCCUUUCCUAUUGAUUUAAAGAAGGCCCUCGAGAAGGCCUUAUAAAAACUAAUCCGCUGGAAUACGUAUUGUAUAGUAAAAAUGUAGAACUUGUGGUCAACCGGUCGAUAAAAUAUACAAUCAUGGCCCCAUAGGUCUGUUGUCUGUUAAUAAUUUGACACAGUGGCGCAUAUAUAUACUGAUAAUAUAUUAGAUAUAUUUAAACUACAUUUGUCUACUGCCAUUUAGUGUUACAUGUAUGAAAGGUCAAACAUUCAUUGUAAUACACAAUUGAUUGAAGGUCUUGCUCGUCGAUGCACACAAUUAACCGAAGGUUUUGCUACGCGAUGCAUUCUUAGAUGUUAAAGUAUACGGUAAAUACAAGAAAACGAAAAGGAAUGAAGUUAGGGAAUAUAUAGUUAUUUUAAAGUAGACGGUAAAUGUACAAGAAAACGAACAGUUAUGAAGUAAGGGAAUACAUAGUUCAGUUAAUUGAAAUUAAAGGCAUUGCCGGAUCAAGUUGGGGGGGGGGGGGGGGGGGCGGGGUUGGAACCCCUUUCUUGGCGAGCAAUGCAUUUGAAUGGGACAUAAGUUGGAACCCCCCCUUUAAAUGGCUGGAUCCGCCCUGAGAGGAGGAUUGUAAAAGCUCGGGGGAGGGCAACUCCUAUACACAAUGUGAUAGGACGUGCCGCUGGAAUAGACCACCUUUUUCAAACAUAAAACUAUGUGGAUAGUUUGGGAAAACUAUCAGUAGCCCUUUUCACAAAAUUUAAGUGUAAAAUUUAUCGUAAGUCUAAUAUUUCUUAACAAUUCACAAAUUUUUAUUCGUAAGAUUAAUUUUACACUACGAUUUUUUGUGAAAAGCUUCGUAAUCAGUGUAUAUAAGGAAACAAAGUUCUAUAACUUCUUCGUCGUCAUUUUCCUUGUGUUCCUUUUGUGUUUUAUACGACCGCAAAAUUUGAAAAAUUUUUUCGUCGUAUAUUGCUAUCACGUUGGCGUCGCUCGUCGUCCGUCGUCCGAAACUUUAGUUUUCGCACUCUAACUUUAGUAAAAGUGAAUGGAAUCUAUGAAAUUUUAACACAAGGUUUUAUGACACAAAAAAGGUUGGUAUUGAUUUUGGGAGUUUUGGUCCCAACUUUUAGAAUUAGGGGCCAAAAAGGGCCCAAAUAAGCAUUUUCUUGGUUUUCGCACUAUAACUUUAUUUAAGUUAAUAGAAAUCUAUGAAAUUUGACAAGGUUUAUGACACAAAAGAACGUUGGGAUUGAUUUUGGGAGUUUUGGUUUCAACAGUUAGAAUUAGGCCAAAAGGGCAAAUAAGCAUUAUUCUUGGUUUUCGCACAAUAACUUUAGUUUAAGUAAUAGAAAUAAUGAAUUUAAACACCAUGUUAUGACUAAAAAGGAAGGUUGGUAUGAUUUUGGGAGUUUAGGUCCACAGUUUAGGAUUAGGGGCCAAAAAGGGACCCAAAUAAGCAUUUUUUCUUGGUUUUCGCACCAUAACGUUAGUAUAAGUAAUAGAAAUCUAUGAAAUUUAAACACAGGUUUAUGACCAUAAAAGGAAGGUUGGUAUUGAUUUGGGAGUUUUGGUCCCAACAGAAUAAGGGGCCCAAAGGGUCCAAAAUUAAACUUUGUUUUGAUUUCAUCAAAAUUGAAUAAUUGGGGUUUCUUUGUAUGCCGAAUCUAACUGUCAUGACUGUGUAUGUAGAUUCUUAACUUUUGGUCCCGUUUUCAAUUGGUCUACAUAAGGUCCAAAUGGUAAAAUUAAACUUAGUUUGAUUUUGACAAAAAAUGAAUCGUUGGUUCUUUGAUUGCUGAAUCUAAAUGUACUUAGAUUCUUGAUUAUUGGCCCAGUUUCAAGUUGGUCCAAAUCGGGGUCCAAAAUUAAACUUGUUUGAUUUCAUCAAAUUGAAUAAAUGGGUUUCUCUUGAUAUACAAAUCUAACUGUGUAUGUAGAUUCUUCAUUUUUUGUCCUGUUUUCAAAAGUAAAAGGGUCCAAAAUUAAACUUAGUCUGAUUUUAACAAAAUUGAAAUCUUGGGGUUCUUUGAUUGCUGAAUCCUAAAAUGUACUUAGAUUUUUAUUAUGGGCCCAGUUUUCAAGUUUUCAAAUCAGGAUCUAAAAUUAUUAUAUUAAGUAUUGUGCAAUAGCAAGUCUUUUCAAUUGCACAGUAUUGCGCAAUGGCAAGAAAUAUCUAAUUGCACAAUAUUGUGAAAUAGCAAAUUUUUUUUUAAUUAGAGUUAUCUUUCUUUGUCCAGAAUAGUAAGCAAGAAAUAUCUAAUUGCAAAAUAUUGUGCAAUAGCAAGAUUUUUUUUUAAUUGGAGUUAUCUUUCUUUGUCCAGAAUCAACUUAAAUCUUUGUUAUAUACAAUAUACAAUGUAUAUUCACUUUUUACUACCAACUGAUAAAUUAAAAUAAUCUUUACCAUUCAGUGAUAACAAGCAGUUUUUUUACAUCUUAUUUCUUAUCUAUCUAAAAUGUUUUUAGGUAAUGUAUGUUGGACAUUUGCCAGACAUGACUAUGAUGUCAUUUUCUAUUUUUAUUUGCCAAUAACUGUAUGUAAAUAACUUCAUUGGAAAUUUGUCAAUAUAAAAUGUUGUUGAUGAAGUUUUUUUUAUUGUUUUAUACAAUAAACAAUGUAUAUUUACUUUUACUACCAACCAAUCUUACCAUUCAGUGAUAACAAGCACUUAUUUUACAUUUUAAUAUUUUAUGAUGUAUUUAAAGAGUAGUUAUUGUUUGCAACUCCAUUAGAAAUUUGAUGAUAUCAGUUUUGGAAAAGGGAAACGGGAUGUGAAAAAGGGGGGGUUAAAUUUUUCUCAUUUCAGAUUCAUAAAUAGAAAGAAAAUUUCUUCAACAUUUUUUGAGAGGAUUAAUAUUCAACAGCAUAGUGAAUUGUAAAGCAAAACAAACUUUAAGUUCAUUAGACACAUCAUUUCUUGUCAGAAACCUAUGCUGUGUCAACUAUUUAAUUUUAGAUUUAAAAAGUUGAAGAAGAAAUCUUUAAUUGUAAAAUUUGUAAAAUCUUGACAUUUGUUUUGUGUAAAAAAAAAACAUGUAAUUGUAAUGUCAAAAAUUUGAUCACAAUCCAAAUUCAGAGCUGUAUCACGCUAGAAUGUUUUGUCCAUACUUGCCCCAACUGUUCAGGGUUCGACCUCUGCGGUCGUAUAAAGCUGCGCCCUGCGGAGCACCUGGUUCUCUUUUGGCACUUUGGUAUACUUUAAUCAUAACAAACCCAAACAAUAUGGGGAUAGGUGGUAAAGACUGGGAAAACGUUCAAAUUUUGUACGAUAUUAUGCAUACACAUGUAUGAAUAGUUACACAGCAAUAAGGUCAUAAUACCUUUUAUAUCAGUAAACCUUUUUUAUCUUCACGGACAAAGAAAACAUAGUUAUAUUUGUAUAAUAAUGUUUUCUUUGUUCGUGAAGAUAAAACAAACGUAACUUAUGCUGAUAUAUACAAUGCAUUCAAAUAUUUGUAAAAGUCAUAUAUACAUUGUACAUAUAAUAGGACAAAUGAAUUCAGUACUACAUAGCGUGUUAGAUUUUGUAUACAGUUGUGAUUUUAUGUAGCCCCAAAAUAAUUAAGAAAUAAAUAGUACACACUAAGUAAUAUGUCAGUUCUUUCUAUCGUUUUACGUAAGAAUACAAUGAUAUUGUCCAAUAAGACAAAAAAGUAAGCAUGUAAUUAUCUUCUUUGGUUUCACUAUUUCCCGUAUUUUCCCAUAUACCUUUGACGUCUAUCUCAUUGUAAUAUAAACAAGACAGAAAAUAGUCAUUUACUAAAAUGAAGGUAAUUUUUACCACAAAGGAAGACAUUUAAAUAAGAUAGAUGAGAAUUACAUACAAUAAAUUGGCCAUGUUAUUUUGUGGUUUUUCGCACAAGUUAUAAGAGAAAUCUAACCACUGGUUUAUCGGAUUUAUGUAGUCGCAUGAUUUGGAUAAAAAAAACAACACCGAUAACGUGGCUUCAUGCAUGUAAAAUCACAUAGACAUUACUAAAAAAAAAAAAUUAUGCCUUAUUCCCCGAAAAACAAUAUUGCUGGCAUGUUAAACAUGUCUGAUGAGUAUUAUCGCGAUUCCUUAAUAUUGCAAAUCUGAUAUUUAGCUUCCGUCAUGAUUAGACUGGUCAUAUAUUGGAUUGACAGAACGGACAAGUGGGUUUUAUGACUGAUGUUCAUGAAUAAUCUUCGGAGACAAUCUACUUUGAAAUCAUGUUCGUCAAUUAGUUCGGGAUCUACUGAAAUAAUCUCAAACCAAGUUUGCCAUCUUCAGAAACAGUCUUUACAGUAUUUAUGUUCUCGAAGUUAGCCAUCUUUUUAAAUAUAAUGGAACAAUACCCCUGUUCGCAAGUAAUAUUAGAAAACCGUGGCACUGUAACGAUCAGCCAUGAUGGUCACCGAAGAACUGCUUUGUAACCUUGUUCUAGUAGUUUUUGAGGUUAGACAGCACUUAUGCUAGUGAAAUGGGUGUAAUAGGGCCUUGUGUCCACAAUUUUGUUUUUAAUUCCAAACUCCUUUUACAUUUAGGGAGACGAACUGAUUUUGCAUUACCCUGCCAUGUAUAUUGUAUAAUUUCUUAUAUAUAUAUAUAUGUUCCAGACCGUAUGAGUAUUUGGACCGUACGCGUACGGUCUGGACCGUAUCGUACUUUUUCAAAAAUAUCAUACGGUUGGACCGUACGCGUACGGUCUGACUUAUAUUAAAAAGUUGGUCAAGUUUAUUAGUUACAAAUGCAUAUAGCAGAUCAACAUAACUUAACUAUCAAAUUAAUCUAAAAAAAGUUCAAUUGUAAUUGAAACAAAAACUUUAUAUUUUAACUUUUUUUUUAAAUUCACGCUAAUGAAAUCUGUUAGUCUCUAGUAUUAAGCAUGUCGAUCAGUAAUACAUUAAUUGAAUUAUGAUCACUGAAAUUGAAGAUAUUGGAAGAAACAUAAUGUGGGAGGUAAAUGUUCUAAAAUAUUUAGGCAACUUUACCAAAAAAUGCAAAUGCAAAGGAACAUGAAUGAACUGGAUACAUGAAAAUGUAAAAAAAUAUUACGUUACUUGAAUUGUGUCACCUUGGGCGAGAGUACUAAAAUAGGAUUCAGAUAUAAAAUUAAACAAAUACUUAAUUUCAAUUGUUCGUUUGUUCAUUUUAUCUAUCUAAUUGUAAUAAAUUAUCAAUAACAAUGUAAAACUAAAAAUAAAGAUUGUGAUAAUGCUUGUUUAAUUUAACCCAUAUGAUCAAAUAACAUGUAUGGUCAGCUCGUACUGGACCGUACGCGUAUACUCAUACGGUCCGACCGUACGCGUAUGGUUGGACCGUACGAGUAUACGUAUACGGUCCGGACCGUACGCGUACGGUCCAAAUACUCAUAUGGUCUGGAACAUAUAUAUAUAUAUAUAUAUAUAUAUAUAUAUAUAUAUAUAUAUAUAUAAGUGAAAACAAGGUACAUAUUUGUACAUGUACAUGGUAAUCUUAUCAUCAGUAAUAUUAAAAUAUAUCUUGAGGCAUAUAUUGUGUUGACAUUUUACUAAAACACCUGUGUGUAACUCGUGGUAUUAAUUGAUUGAAUAGUGUAUAGACGUUAAUAUUACAUCUAUUUUCGUGCACCACUUGUUUCGUAGUAUCGUGCAAAUAGGUUAUAUGUACAUAAAAACAGAUUAAAAAGGCAAGGUAGCAAUAUGUAGCAACAAGAUAGCAACCUUACAGCUAAAGAUACCGAUAUCCCCUCCCCUAAAACAGACCCAAAGGACACCAUGUUUAAAUGGAAAUGACAGCCAUUGACCGUUUGUCACACAUGAGUUCUUUUCCUGCACUGUUUUUCUUAUGUUUUAUUGUACGUUACUUAUCGAUAUUAAAAGGAGAGGGGUCGCUGGAAAAAUAUAGCGGGGUUCAGUAAUUAUAGUUUUAUAGGAAUUCUAAAUAUAUGCUGCUCUGUAUAAACAUUCCUUUACAAAGCUGUCGUAUUAAUGCUAAACUCCAUUGACGUUUAUACUACUCCCCACGCCCCACUCCGAUUCACUCAUUCAAAAAAUUGCAUCGUCCUGGUUACUACAAACAACUGUAAUUUGUGUCCUCUAUCUGUAACAUUAUUUGAGUAAACACUGCACGCCCCAUCCCUAUUCACUCAUUCAAAAACUUGCGUCGUCCUGGUUACUACCAAUACUGCAAUUUGUGUCCUCUAUCUGUAACAUUAUUUGAGUAAACACUGAGACUCGAGUUUAUAAACUAGAAUCAGUUUCGAGUAAUGCAAGUUAUUUCUAUCUAUUUCUACAUACAUUUUUAAUUAAUUGCUUGCAAUGUACGGAUGGUAAUUUAAAACCAUUUCACCCCAAAAAGUAAGAACUUUUGCAUGUGUAAUUGGCGUAAAUGAAUUAUCGUUUUCUCGAAUAUCUGCUAAAAUUCAUGUGUAUUAUAGAGUUGAAAGAAUAUACUAUAUAUGUAGAUUAAAUACAUGUAUUUGAUAAUAAUAGAAAAAGGCUGAGUCACCUUUUAAGUAGGUAUUUAAAUAAAACCUUUGUGAAAAAUACAUUUCAAAACGGGUAUUUUUAGUUUGAUGAGCUUGACUGGAAAGCAAAAUAUUUCUAACAUGGGUUACUCUUAAAAUGAUGCCAAAUCUUUUCCUAUAUUCUAAAUGAAAAGCGUAAGGAACUGAUAACGAAGAAUUAUAAAUUAAUUUGCAAAACUUCAACUUAUUUUAAGUAGCAGCUAGUUGAAUACACUUAAAGACCCCUUUGUUUGUGAAUACACAACACAACUUAAUAUGAAAAAGGCUCUAAAGAUCCCGUAUCCCUCAAUUGGAUGUAUGUGUAUCUUCAACAGUGAAUACUCUCUACCUAUGUGGAUUAAAAUCUCUUUCUAAUGAUCUUUUGUUUUUUUCUCUGUUUUGUUGACAUCUAUCUUUUGUUAAGACAUGUCUGUUUGAGACUUAGAUUCAUAACCUUUCUAGGGAUUGUAUUAAGUCUUGAUGUUUUCAGAAUUUUUGUCUUGAAUUUUGUCAUAUAUGUGUUUGCAGAUACUACUAUAUGCAGAGACUAAACUAGAUCUAAACAGUAUAGCUAGUAUACAUUUUUGUUAAGGGUCCAUCUGAAACACUCCUCCGGGUGCGGUAUUUUCUCACUGCAUUGAAGACCCAUUGGUUGUCUUCGUCUGUUAUCUGCUCAUUGGUCGGGUUGUUGUCGCUUUGAAAAAAUCCCAAUUUCCCUUCUCAAUUUUACAUAUAUCCCGCCUGUGUCACCUAAUCACAAAAGAGGGACGAAAGAUACCAAAGCGACAGUCAAACUCAUAAAUCUAAAACAAACUGACAACGCCAUGGCUAAAAAUGAAAAAGACAAACAAAAACAGCACACAUGACACAACAUAGAAAACUAAUGAAUAAACAACACGAAAGGCAUAUAAACUUCACCAAUAGGAUUCAAACACCACACUUAUGUAAUAUGUAAUACCAUACAGUACAUGAGUACUUGUAUAUAUAUAUAUAUAUAUAUAUAUAUAUAUAUAUAUAUAUAUAUAUAUAUAUCACUGCUAUGCUUAUUUGUACAAAUAGUUAACGUUCGGGUUGAUUGGAAAUAUAUCUUUGUAGAAUAGCGUGUAUUUUGACACGAAGAAUGCUUCUUUGUCCGUUUUUGUCCUACAUUUUAUAAUUAGUAAAUAUUUUCAAAACAAACAAUUUAAAUUGCUUUGUAUGCAGAUUUUACCCAUUUAAAGAAAUAGGUCAAAUACAAGUUAUAUAUUUAUAACGUUUACAAGAACGUGAGAUAUAAAUAUAUGUUUGAAAUUGAUUAUUUAUUGAAAAAACAAUGUCGAUACCUUCAACCAAAGCGAAAAUAGAACUGACAAAUAGGAGAAAAUAACCCAGGAAAUUGUUCUUUUUUGGGGGGGAGGGGGACGGGGAUGGACGUCAUUAUACAACCAUCCAUAACAUUUUUUGUGUAGUUGAUAGAAUAGUAAACAUAGAAAGAUUUUUUUUUUUUAUGAAAUAUUUAAACGGGUGGAUAUACUAGAUGGAACUGUGUUGAACGUCCAGGAACAAACAUUACAUGCAUAUUAGCUCGAUUAUCAUGUAUGAAUAUGAAUCAUGCAUUAGUAAUUUUAAUCGACACGUUGAGUCGAAUUUUUAACCUGCUAUGAUCAGUAUUGCUAACAAGCAUUAGAAAGGCAUACAACCUUAGCUCUUUGCUAUUACUCCUCAUUUUUGCGUGCAUAGCAAAGACACAGCAGAAAUAUGCUAGAAACAUAACAAUAUUAAAAACCUUCGGAUACUUUUUUGUUUAGGCUUUUUCCCAUGGUUUAUACGCACUCUGUCAUUGAUCACCUAUUCGGAGGCUUAGUUUCAUUUGCCAGUUUGUCAUAAUAUACAUACAUGUAAUAUCCAAUUAUCCGACUGAUUUAUAUAUAGAAUACUAGUUUUCCUCACACAUUUUUAUCAAGUCAUAUAUGAUUCUUUUUCAUUGUACUUUUGUUAGCUAAUAACUAUUUGUCUGUACACAAAAAGUAUAUCAACGUCAUCAUUUGGAUCACGUUUUUUGUUAAACUUCUACUAUCAUAUAUCAAGGUCGAUGGAACAUUUUAUUUUGUAUGUAAAUUACUCACAUGGUAGAAAUUUAAUCUUUUUAAAUAAUAAUUAGUUCAAAUCUAAAAAAAGGCGCCUACCGAUAGGACGACCACUUAUCCAAUGUGUUGGUUUAAGUCAUACAUGUCAUAUAAACAACUUCUUUCUAUACGUAUCACUUGCUCGGUCACUGACCAAGAUACAACGAGCAGUCGAAGGGUUGAAUGCUCAUCAAUACCAGGCCUUUUACAUAUCAAAUGACAAGAUCCUAUAUGUCAAGGGUUUAUUCUUUGAAGCUCAAGUUAAUAUUCAGUGCCUCAGUCUAUCCAUUCUAUGAUUUAUCUAGUUAUUGCUAUUAAUUUGCCACUGGACAUACUUCGCUAGACUGUUUUGUUUCUUUUUUAUUUUGAUAUAGUUUAUUUUGUAUCUCUUUCUUGUUACUGUUUAAACGCAUGGACUCGGAAAUAAUCAUACUGAACAGUUCAAAUUGUACGUUAGUUCAGUAACGAACGGAAAUUUAUUACAGGACAAGACCAUAUAUUACUGACGAGACAAUAAGAAGUGUACUAACUGGAAGGACUAAGGCGUUCAGCAAAUAAUUGUUGAAACUCGAUUGCUUAUUUAUGCACAUUUUAAGAGAUUUAUAUGUAGGAGUUUGACAGAAAUAUUCAGUGAUUUAAACCCUUUAUAGUCUUUACGUCACAUUAUCUCAUAAUAAAAAAGGUCUAAUCUAUUGGUUUUCUAUGUUAUAUAAGGAAGUAAAAGAAAUAAAAAAAUAAAACUUCCAAAAAAUGAAUUUUUCAUUUUAAAGUUUGUCUGCUCUUUCGUGAACUUCUUACAACAAAAGAAAAUAAAGCAAUUAUCAUAAAAGACAUGGUUCUCAAAAAACAUCACCGCACAUCUAUUGAAAUACACAGUAUCGUGAAGAGGACAGUUACGAGGGUCUGGAUGGUACGGGGUUCCUUCUUUUCUUUAAUUUUUAUUUGUUUGCCAUUGAUCUCUUUCAUUUAUUUAUUUUUUAGGAGGGGGCAUUAUUCUCUAUUCUCUAUGUAUAAGUACCCUAUUGUUCUUUCUUCUUCUUUUUUUGUUCUUAAUUUAAAACUUUUACUCAUUAUUCCUAUUCUCUAACCCAAUUCAGCUAUGGAUUUGAAAAGACAACGAAAGAGUGUAAGAUAAAAUACAAAUAUAAAAAGCAAACAGUUUAAGCUUAAUUAGGGAAAACAAACUGACUCCAGCUAAACAGGGGAGGUAUAUGCUAUUUUACACACGCCUAGCCACUGGUAGUCGACUGGUCAUUUCGGAAAGGAAAGAAAGAUGAAUCUGCGUUAAUUUGUGGCAUACUUAUUUGAUAUUAACAACCCAUUAGAGCUAGUAAACAAACUCAGCAUAUACCAGGAUUAGCAUUUUGUACGCCAGCAGCGGGUUUCGUCUACAAAAGACUCAUCGGUGGACGCUCGAAUCAUAAAGUUAAAAAUGCAAAAUAAAGUACGAAGUUGAAAAGCACAAUAAAGGGCCUAAAAUACUCAAAGUUUUUGACAAGUAUAGAUAGCAAAGUUAUCUAUUUCUGGGUAAUAGUAAUUCAUUCAAAGUGGCAUUAUGGCAUUUGUUCUAUUUUUUGUCGUUUUGUUGUUGUGUUACAUAUUUGUUUUGGUUCAUUACUUUGUAUAUACAAUUAGGCCGUUAGUUUUCUCAGAUGUAUUGUUUUACAUAGGUCAGUUUGUGGCCUUUUAUACUAUGCGGUAUGGGCAUUGCUGAAGGCCGUACGAAGACCUGUAGUUGUUAAUUUCUAUGUCAUUUGGUCUCUUGUCAAAAGUUUCUCAUUGUUAAUCAUACCACAACUUCUAUUUUAAGUUUUCGAAUAUUUUCUUUUACAGAAAUUAGUGGAAAUGAUGACAUGUACAGAUGUCCAGAACAUUUGUCGAGAUCCAUUUAUCUUAAGACAUUCGGAGAGAAAUGUUAUCGAUACGAGAAGAACGAAUUAUAUUGGACGACGGCAAGAAGUCGGUGUAGGGGAGAAGAAGGCGAUCUAGUUCAGAUAAGAGAUCAAGCAACACAAGACUGGGUCAUGUCUACGUUAAAUGAGCUCCAUUGGAACAAAAACGGCGUAUGGAUAGGAGCUCAUGACAGAGACAAUGAAAUGGAUUGGCGAUGGGUGACUGGUGAGUAAUUGGAUAGCGGAAUGAAAACUAAGUAAAUAGAUAAUAUUUGGACGAAAUCUGUAGGUCAAUCUAAAUAUACAAAACUGAUAUCACCUUAAAAAAAAAACCAUAAACAAAAAAACAUAAUGUAACGUAAGGGUAUCCACAUUGCAUUUAUUUUGACGGUUUUGUUCAACUUCGUGUUUUUUUUAAGAAACAUACACACGUUUUGAGUCUGUGCGAGAAUUUCUCGUUGCAUUGAAGACCUGUUGGUGACCUUCUGCUGUUGUCUGCUCUAUGGUCGGGUUGUUGUCUUGGCACAUUCCCCAUUUCCAUUCUCAAUUUUAUCAUAAUUUACUAUGUAGUUCCACACGUUUGAUUUUGAAUCUAUACUGGUUUACAGUUUUUUCUUAUGUUGUACUGUCCCGAUAAGGGGGAGGGUUUGGCGCAAGCAAAAUAAAAAAGAAGAUGUGGUAUGAUUGCCAAUGAGAUAACUCUCCACAAGAGACCAAAAUGACACAGAAAUUAACAACUAUAGGUCACCAAAUAGCCUUCAACAAUGAACAAAGCCCAUACCGCUUAUUCAGCUAUAAAAAGCCCCGGAAUGACAUUUUAAAACAAUUCAAACGAGAAACUGCCUUAUUAAUGUAUGUUUAACUUGCCAAAGCUUGUAUGUGUCUGUCCAAAGUCAGGAGUGUGUAAUUUUAAUAGUCGUUGUCGUUUGUUGCUGUAUAUCAUACUUGUAUUUGUUUUCUCGUUUGAAUUGUAUUAUAUUAUUGGCAAUAACACACAUUCUUCUUAUAUUUAUAUGAAUCAUCAAUAAUCGGGUUUGAAAUUAAUUUUUAAUUUUUUCGGAUUUUUAAAGUAUAUUAAGCUAUGAUGAUAAAAGUGCAUAUUACCAAAUUAAAAAAAAAAGCACGAGCCGUUUAGUCUCUAAAAAAACAUAUUGAUGUUACUACCGAGCGGAAGAAGUCAAAUGACCAUAUGUCUGUACCCUCGUCGGCGCUUGGGAAUACACUUAUAUAUUGACAUACCAUUCUAUUUCAUAGGAAAGCAACACCACUUGGCCAUUGUCUUCAAUUCAGUUUGUGUAACAUAAGAAAAACGGUAAAAACUUGUUUUCAGAGUUAUCUUUCUUAGGUAUUGUGUAACCCCUUAACGCACUGUUACUGUUUUUUAGGCGAAAGGAUAACUUGGAAUAAUUGGGCAAGUGGUCAGCCAAACUGUAACUGGUUUUGUUACGAGGACUGUGGGAAUUUACGUCGAAAUGAUGGCGGAAAAUGGCAUGACUAUGCAUGCAGUUCGUUUAAUUAUGUAUACUCAUUUAUUUGCCAAUAUGGUAAGUAGCUCAUAUUAUAUUCCUCUGUUUUUGAAAUUCCAGUACAGUCUGCUUAUUGAGAUUAGUUUAUAUGGGCCCAUGUCUAAUCAGGCCACCUUUAAACCACAGAGUGGUAUCUUUGGAUUUCAAUGAAAUGUUUUUGUUGUCAUGGUUAUAAGAUUUCGUCUCUCUGAAAUUAUGUUUCCAACUAAAAAAUAGUUAAGACGUUACGCACGGUAGUGGUGCCACUCAGCACGACGUUCCAAAUAAAACGACGAUUUUGACAUUGUUCCGAAAGUUUCAAACGUUAUCCUUAGAACUUGUGCACUUGGAGUAACCGUAGAAUUUACAUUCUUCUUACAAGUAUUCAUUUUGUAGAGAUUUUCGAAGUUGCUUCUUUAUAUGCUUUUUUUCAAACUGAUGUAUAAAUAAAAAAUUCCAUUGAAUAAAAACAAAAAUCUAAUUACAUGAACAAUUUUUAAUUUUGCGAAAAAUUGUCUCCAACAAUAACACAUAGUAACAAUUUGAUGUCUUGUUAUAUGAUUUAAAAUCUGUUUUCUAUAUUUUUUGGCGUUUUUUUAUCUUCAAAAUUUUUGGAAAUUUAAAAAACUAAGUUUGAUACUACGAGUGAAACAAAUGCAGGAAACAUCUUAACCUAAUAUAUGUCAAUCCAUGUUGAAUGAAAUCAACAAAAUAUUCUUUAAUUUUAUAUGGGAUGGAAAAACAGAAAAAAUCAACGUGAUACAUGAUUGAAGUAAAAAGGAUGGAGGUUUGAAAAUAGUCAUUGACAAUCUUCACUUUAUUUAAAGUCGUUGGGUGAGGCGAUUUUUUUCAAAUUUGAAUGGGGACUGGCAAAAUAUUCUUAAGUUGAUAUUGAAAAAAUUUGGAGGUGCAAGAUCCUUUUCUUUACAAAACUUCAAAUUUUUAGAGAUUGGAAAUCAACUCCGCAAUCCUUUUUGGAAAGAUGUUCAAGCUUUACACUCAUCUAAACACAUGUUAAAACUGAUCAAGGAGUGUCUCUCGAUGGAUAUCUUGAAUUUUGUGAAAACAGAAGAUUUCCAUAUAUAAAGAUGGGAGUGCCGUGUGCAAAAACUCUGUCACAUUUUGACCAUAAGAAGAGAUUUUUUCACAUUUGAUAGAUUAAACAAAAAGUUCAACAUAUUAAAAAAAAAAUUUUUUUGAAAAGAAUUUAAUUUCCUAUGCUACUUCGCUACUUCAUCACACCUAUCUAGAUGGUUGAGUACUUACAAACUAGACUAAACCCAAUGUAAAGCAAAGCAAGUUACCUAAGGUCAUGUUGCUCGUAAAUGAUUGACUUUUAAUAUCAUAGGUUUUUGUCCCAAAAGUUAUUCGAUAUUGGUGACAUAUAUUUCGUAAUUUGUGUUAAUAAUUUAACUUAAAAUCUGUUCAUGAUUUUAUUCAAAUUCAUUAUUAACUAGAUAUGAUUAAUUAACAACUUCUUGUCAAAAAUUCUUACUAGAGGUUGUUCUCUCAUUUUUGUCUACUAGUAAUUAAAAGUUAUAAAUAUAGUCUGUCAUCGCACACCGCGGGGAAAUUAUCACGUUGUGAUUGGUUUAACGCUGUCACGUGGUGACCCCCUAUGAGACUGUAGGGGUUAGUAAAUUUCAUAGGGGGUUCAUGACGCGUUAAUGGUGACGUCAUUUGUUAAUGUUGUGUUUCAUUGUUUUAUUUUCCAUCAAAACGCAGCAAAAAAAGUCCAGCGUGCGCUAAAUUCGUUAUACGGUUCACUACUGACCCUUACGAACCAUAGAGGAUAAGUAAAAUCGAUAGGGGAUUCGGCCUCCAGCCUCCCCCCUAUGGAUUUUACCAACCCUCUAUGGAUCCGUAGAGGGUCAGCAGCGAACCAUAUAACUUGUAUUAUCGCCAUAUCAAACAGCAGAUUUAAAACAUUUGAAUAUGAUUUCCUGAUCCUGAUAGAAUAAUAAACCGUAUCACAUAGUACAAACGCCUUAUCCAGAAUGCUACCUUUUUUAAUUGUAUUUAAAUAUAACAUUUCAGACAUGA
rnacentral:lncRNA from 1 species